CAAAAACUAUCUCUACCUCUCUCAAAAACUAUCUCUACCUCUCUCCAAACUGUCUCCAAACUAUCACUGACCGCAACUCUCCAUCAAACACCCACAUUUUGAAUGGAGCCUGAGGGGUUUAUAUCGCUGUUGAAAAGCGCGGCAAAAUCCGAACCACUUCCUGAAUCAGUCACGUGGUACAGCCGGGCAGCGAGGCUUCGGACGUCAUCAUUUUCAGCUCCUCCCCUAAACGAAGCAAGCCUCGAUACGCGCAUCGCGGACACGCCCCCUCCCCUACUCGGCACACGCUUCGAAGCCUCGAUACGUAACGUCACAUCACUAACGAUAACUAAUAUGUUUCAGGGGAGAAAGUAACCACGUAGAUUGCGAGUAUAUGGUCAGUUUAUCAAGCAAUGUCGAUUUGGAAAUUUGCUCCUAGGUUUUUGUAGCUGCCAGCACUUGCUAACGGACCACCUAGCUAUAAUUAGCAGGCAGCUACAUCUCAUUCAGAGCACAGUAACGUUAGUCUGACACCAAGGACGCUGGCGUUCCAGUUCAGUAUCUGAGACGGUUUAUCAACGAGCGACUAACUGCAGCUGCUGAAGAAAUAGUUGGAGCCUUUGAAAAAACUCUCCUCGACUACGAGGAAGAGAUCGAUCGUCAGUGCAGACUGCUGGAUAUCGUCUGGAAACCCCAAGUAAAGCUACACAGGACAGAGCUGCCUCAGCAACAUGUCUGUAAGGAGGAGGCGGC